GACGAACGCUGGCGGCGUGCUUUAUACAUGCAAGUCGAACGAGAAGCUGACUUCGGUCAGUGGAAAGUGGCGGACGGGUGAGUAAAAUGUAGAGAAUCUGCCCUUGAGCGGGGGAUAACAGUCGGAAACGAUUGCUAAUACCCCAUAUGAGGUGAGUUGAAAUACUUAUCUUGAAAACUCCGGUGCUCAAGGAUGAGUCUGCAUCUGAUUAGCUAGUUGGUGGUGUAAUGGACCACCAAGGCGAUGAUCAGUAGCUGGUUUGAGAGGAUGAUCAGCCACAAUGGGACUGAGACACGGCCCAU
rnacentral:rRNA from 1 species